rnacentral:rRNA from 1 species
UGAGGAAUAUUGGACAAUGGGGGCAACCCUGAUCCAGCCAUGCCGCGUGAGUGAUGAAGGCCCUAGGGUUGUAAAACUCUUUUAGUGGGGAAAAUAAUGAUGGUACCCACAGAAAAAGCUCCGGCUAACUUCGUGCCAGCAGCCGCGGUAAUACGAAGGGAGCUAGCGUUACUCGGAAUUACUGGGCGUAAAGCGCAUGUAGGCGGAACUACAAGUCAGAGGUGAAAUCCCAAGGCUUAACCUUGGAAUUGCCUUUGAAACUGUAGUUCUUGAGAUUGUCAGAGGAUAGUGGAAUUUCCAGUGUAGAGGUGAAAUUCGUAGAUAUUGGAAAGAACACCAGUGGCGAAGGCGACUGUCUGGGACAAUACUGACGCUGAGAUGCGAAAGCGUGGGGAGCAAA